CCUAAAUGAGAGUCUUCCUUUAAAGAUAUAAAAAAGAACGUUAAGAACCCUCAGUUGAGACUUCUCGACAAUUCAUUGCCGAGUGUUUUAAAAUGCAAUAGUACCGCCACGUUUGCGAACUUGGAGUAAUAUGUGAGCCUGAAAAGGUGACCUCUAUUCUCCUCGGACCACGUAGACCUGUUAAGCGGGAAGUUUUUGAAUGCCGAAUUAUGGGAGACGGUGUUCAAUUGUUCGAGUAACGACGAACGAAAUAA
rnacentral:misc_RNA from 2 species